rnacentral:rRNA from 1 species
GUAGGCUGAAACUACGCCUACAUGAAGCUGGAAUUGCUAGUAAUCACAGGUCAGCAUACUGUGGUGAAUACGUUCCCGGGCCUUGUACACACCGCCCGUCACACCAUGAGAGUCGAUAACACCCGAAGCCUGUAGUCUAACCGCAAGGAGGACGCAGUCGAAGGUGGGAUUGAUAAUUAGGGUGAAGUCGUAACAAGGUACC